rnacentral:misc_RNA from 1 species
GAAAUGCGAUAAGUAAUGUGAAUUGCAGAAUUCAGUGAAUCAUCGAAUCUUUGAACGCACCUUGCGCUCCUUGGUAUUCCGAGGAGCAUGCCUGUUUAAGUGUCAUGGAAUUCUCAACUCUAUUUGCUUUUGUGAAUAGAGCUUGGAUUUGGAGGUUUAUUGCUGGUACUUGUGAUCGGCUCCUCUUGAAUGCAUUAGCUCGAACCUUUGCGGAUCAGCUAUCGGUGUGAUAAUUGUCUACGCCGUUGCAGUGAAGCAUAUCAAUGGGCUCGGCUUCCAAUCGUCCUUUACUGGACAAUGACUUUGACCUUUGACCUCAAAUCAGGUAGGAUUACCCGCUGAACUUAAGC